CAUUUAUACUUGGCAAUUCCAUCUGAUCAUGUGGCAUGAAACUGCUGUACCUUUUCCCAAAAUGUUGUCUCUUGCUGCACGUACCGGAUGAACGUUUCGUUUCGUCACAUGCAGAAAUUCUUCAGAAAAGUCCUGAGUCCUGAGCUUCUUCAUUGCAGUCUGAAUUUGUUGCAGCCAGCUGGUGGAACUUGGUGUUCCUCUUGCUACCAGUACCGAUUGUAGCUUUCGUCACAUACAGAAACACUUCAUGUCCACUCCCCCUCAAUUAUUCAAAAUGGUGGCCAUCUGACAUGUUGAUUCCUGUAGAGGUGUGAUUGUGAUGAACAAUUCUCAUUCUCAGCUUUUUGAGAGAAGCUUAUCAGGUUAUUGCAUGUUGCUCUUUUGUCCAACUUGAAAAAUAUCUUAAGAAUGGAUGUAAAGCCAGUUUUCUGUAUGUUAGAAACUCGGGGAAUGAUAAAUAGUGCUUUUCUUCGUGCGGGGGACGAAAUUCCGCCAUUUCCCAUUUGUUUCCGAGACACUGACUGAAAAUGUAUUACGAACUUCCGGCGUCCUUUUACCUUUUCAGUCAUGUUAAUCAAAAGGGAAUUCCAGUUUUUAUGAGUUGAAUUGAGUUACAAUUUGAACUUGUAGUAAUAAGCCCAUUUACAUAUGGGCCUCUCUACACAUUCCUCUUCGUGU